rnacentral:rRNA from 1 species
UAGUCCACGCCGUAAACGAUGAUUACUCGCUGUAGGCGAUACACAGUCUGUGGCUAAGCGAAAGUUUUAAGUAAUCCACCUGGGGAGUACGAUCGCAAGAUUGAAACUCAAAGGAAUUGACGGGGGCCCGCACAAGCGGAGGAACAUGUGGUUUAAUUCGAUGAUACGCGAGGAACCUUACCAGGGCUUAAAUGCACAUUGCAUAGCGUAGAGAUAUGCUUUUCUUCGGACUAUGUACAAGGUGCUGCAUGGUUGUCGUCAGCUCGUGCCGUGAGGUGUCAGGUUAAGUCCUAUAACGAGCGCAACCCCUACCGUUAGUUGCCAGCAUGUAAUGAUGGGGACUCUAACGGGACUGCCGGUGCAAACCGUGAGGAAGGUGGGGACGACGUCAAAUCAUCACGGCCCUUACGUCCUGGGCCACACACGUGCUACAAUGGCCGGUACAGAGGGAAGCCACCACGCAAGUGGGCGCGGGAUCUAUAAAAACCGGUCACAGUUCGGAUCGGGGUCUGG